UCCUACCAGUAUUACAGAACUGCAAAACGAAGAAUGGCAGAAGACUACUCUAUUUAAGUUAGAGCAAGAAGCGAGAAAAGUGAGAGUCUUUUGGAGGGUUUUAAUCAGGUGCGUUUGUGUUUUUUCGUCGGUCGCUUGAAAAUGCUCUCAUUUUAAGAAUUUGCUUCUUUUGUCUCCUUCGAACUCUUUGGAAGAAUGGCAGAAGACUCUGUUUAGAGCAAGAACGGAGCAAAGCGAGGAGUGCGUUUCUAGGGUUUCAAGAAUUUGGUUUUUUUUUUUGUCUCUUUCGAACUCUUUGGAAGAAUGGCAGAAGACUCUGUCUAGAGCAAGAAGGGAGCAAAGCGAGGUGUGGGUUUCUAGGGUUUUGAGGAGGCAGGUAUCAAGCGUGUGUAAAUGAUUUUGGAACUUUCAUCCCCACGGAACCCACAGAAGAGAUAAGAUAUUUCAUUGAUGUUCUGCGUGACAAAAUAAAAUUUCCGUGAGUAAUCAAAAUUCUUAAGUUUGUUUAUUUAAGAUGUGUACUUUGUUGCUGUUACUUAUGUAUCUUUUGCUUUUGGACAGUAUCAGAUAUCAUCCGCUCUUGAUGAGCCACCUAGAGAGUAAAUUUUAUUAUCCAUCUAGGAAGAAAUUUAGAGCAAGUGGAUAGAUUAUCAUCUGGGGCCGUGUAUAAAGGUUUCGUUGACAAUUUUUAAAGGAUUCCUCUAUAUGGCGCCACCGAUUGGAGAAGCCUGGUUGGAAAUGAUAAUUUGCUUAGUCUAUUUACAAUGACGUCUAAUAAGACCAUCGUACAGCUGAUUAAAUUCAUGGGAAAUGUCGGAGUCCAUCUUGUAACAGCCGCGGCGGAGGUAAAAUGGUUAUUUUACUUUAUUUUUGUUUUAUUAUUAACAUUUUAUUUUUGUUUUUUUUCUCAGCAUAGUAGUAAUCCAGUCAAAAUCACGGUGAAUGAGGUGGAUAAGUGGCCAUCAGCCACUUUUAGGAUGAUGAUUGUUGAGCUAGCUGUGAAUGUCUUUACUUUUGACAGUAGAGCUCUGGAACUUUUUGCGGAACCAUAUUGACGAGGUUAUGCAGACAUAAUAUACCAUGCAGACGAGGUUAUGCAGACUAUCAGAACAGAACCCUUUAACCUGUUAAUGGUAGUGUUCACUUGAAUAGGGAUUAAAGGGUGCCACAGAUUUUUCAUGGCAGGCCCUUUGUACAAUGUCAUUGCCAUUACUCCUGCUAAGGACAUCGAGGUCCCGAGAAUCUUCACUAUAACGUGAGGAUUCAUUAGAUUAAAAACCUCAAACCUACAACAAAUAUUUAGCCAUAUUCAAUAAUAGAGCCCUUUUCAUUUCAUAUAUACUAGUUGACUGCCCGCGCUUUGCCGUGGGAUAAUGCCACGUGUGCUGAAAUAUUAUGUUAAAUGCUAAUAAAAAAUUCACCUCCACAACUUUUCAAUACAGUUCCUUUGCAAAGGAUAACCCCCCUGAUUACAAGGUGAUUUGCAGUGUCUGUCAGCAAUAUCAAUUGGUUUUGGAGGGUUUUUGUUCUUUGUUUAUGCGGCCUGUGGAAUAAAUGUGUCCAUAUUAGUCUAAAUCUAUCUGAUGAUGUAGUUUGUAGUUUGCAAGUACUCAUGGUGUUUGCUUUUCUUCAUUUAAUCCCCUGUGUAUUUUCUAGGGUUGUUAGUUUCGUUUGCUUUUGGUGAUUUUAUUUUUAGUCCUUUCGAUUGAAUCAUCUAUCUUUCAUGUGCUAUUUACAUUUCCUUUUCUUUUUAUUUAUUUGAUGAUUGUCCAUUAUCUUACAAUAUCUGUUUUAUUUUCUCAGGGAUUGUCGAUACUCUGAAUACUAAUACUUCUCAGGUAUGUGAUCUUUUGUUUUCUUAGUCAAUAUUGGUUUACUUUCAGCCAUGCAUGCUUAGGUUCCAUCUGAAAAAUUAUUUAUGUGCUUUCUUUGCAAAUUUCCCUAUCUGAAGUUGGGUUCAAUCUGAUGAGCUGUAGUUGUUGGACGCCUAAUUGUUGUUGAAAUUGGAUGGUGUGAGGUGAGGCUGUAAUAAUCGGGUGCAAUGUGUUUAUUUUUGACCCGGUUAAGUGGCCACGGGAUCAGAUGGAUGGAUGAGGACUUCUUGAAGCUCUCAAAAAUGUUCAAUGCUAUGAAAUCUGCUGUUAGGGCCCCAGAUCUUUACCGCAGAUAUAUAAUUGCUGUUCUUGCUUCAAAGAAGGUAGUUGAUUCAUCUUCUUGGUAAUUGUAUGUUAUGUCAGCAUAAUCGAGCUAUCUUCUUGAUGCAGGAACAUUAACAUGGGGGCGCCAAAUGCCUCUUCUAGCUGAGAUGACGAUGCACUGCAAAUUAUGUGAAGCUGGAGCUGGAAAAGAGGAAGAAGAUCAUCUUUGGAGGGCAGCGCAGUAGGAGGUUUGAAAUGCUAGUAGAUUAUGGAUCAGAAGGGGAUUGACGAGAAUAGUUUGGAGAAGGCCAUCUCUUCUUGUUGUUUUUGGGUGUUUCUCGGGGAAUCUCAGCCUUGCUUUGGUGACUAUCAUUUUUUCUUGUCAGGAAUUUGUUGAUGUGGACGGUUUUUGGCUGAUUUAAAUUGGGUGAUGCUGUUGAUUUCCCAUGCUAACAGAUGACAUGAACAAAUGGGUUUAGUUCAAGAAUCCUAUGCAACCUGGGAUUGCUGAAAUAUACCAUUUUAUUUUGAGAGUUCCUUGGAGACUGUUGCUCAAAAUGAUUCAGGAGUGAUUUAAGUUUGAAGAGGAUGAUAUCCAAAGGCCUCAUAAUUCUGUUAUAGUUCCUAUUGUUAUCAACAAAACUUCAGUUAUUUUCAUUGAAAUAAAAAUUGCUUGCAGAAUUAUGUUCACUUCUGGAAUAAUUUAAGGCUUGAAUGGAUAUUAUUCUUGUUAGUUAAUAAUGAUGAGUAUCAAAGAAAAUCGGACGGGAAAAGCUAGCA